rnacentral:rRNA from 1 species
AUUCCAGCUCCAAUAGCGUAUAUUAAAGUUGUUGCGGUUAAAAAGCUCGUAGUUGGAUUUCUGCUGAGGACGACCGGUCCGCCCUCUGGGUGAGUAUCUGGCUUGGCCUUGGCAUCUUCUUGGAGAACGUAGCUGCACUUGACUGUGUGGUGCGGUAUCCAGGACUUUUACUUUGAGGAAAUUAGAGUGUUUCAAGCAGGCACACGCCUUGAAUACAUUAGCAUGGAAUAAUAAGAUAGGACUUUGGUGGUCUAUUUUGUUGGUUUGCACACCAAGGUAAUGAUUAAUAGGGACAGUUGGGGGUAUCCGUAUUUCGUAGUCAGAGGUGAAAUUCUUGGAUUUACGAAAGACGAACUACUGCGAAAGCAUUUACCAAGGAUGUUUUCAUUA